ACGAACGCUGGCGGCGUGCCUAAUACAUGCAAGUCGAACGCUUCUUUUUCCACCGGAGCUUGCUCCACCGGAAAAAGAGGAGUGGCGAACGGGUGAGUAACACGUGGGUAACCUGCCCAUCAGAAGGGGAUAACACUUGGAAACAGGUGCUAAUACCGUAUAACAAUCGAAACCGCAUGGUUUUGAUUUGAAAGGCGCUUUCGGGUGUCGCUGAUGGAUGGACCCGCGGUGCAUUAGCUAGUUGGUGAGGUAACGGCUCACCAAGGCGACGAUGCAUAGCCGACCUGAGAGGGUGAUCGGCCACAUUGGGACUGAGACACGGCCCAAACUCCUACGGGAGGCAGCAGUAGGGAAUCUUCGGCAAUGGACGAAAGUCUGACCGAGCAACGCCGCGUGAGUGAAGAAGGUUUUCGGAUCGUAAAACUCUGUUGUUAGAGAAGAACAAGGAUGAGAGUAACUGUUCAUCCCUUGACGGUAUCUAACCAGAAAGCCACGGCUAACUACGUGCCAGCAGCCGCGGUAAUACGUAGGUGGCAAGCGUUGUCCGGAUUUAUUGGGCGUAAAGCGAGCGCAGGCGGUUUCUUAAGUCUGAUGUGAAAGCCCCCGGCUCAACCGGGGAGGGUCAUUGGAAACUGGGAGACUUGAGUGCAGAAGAGGAGAGUGGAAUUCCAUGUGUAGCGGUGAAAUGCGUAGAUAUAUGGAGGAACACCAGUGGCGAAGGCGGCUCUCUGGUCUGUAACUGACGCUGAGGCUCGAAAGCGUGGGGAGCAAACAGGAUUAGAUACCCUGGUAGUCCACGCCGUAAACGAUGAGUGCUAAGUGUUGGAGGGUUUCCGCCCUUCAGUGCUGCAGCUAACGCAUUAAGCACUCCGCCUGGGGAGUACGACCGCAAGGUUGAAACUCAAAGGAAUUGACGGGGGCCCGCACAAGCGGUGGAGCAUGUGGUUUAAUUCGAAGCAACGCGAAGAACCUUACCUGCUCUUGACAUCCCGGUGACCGGCAUGUAAUGAUGCCUUUUCUUCGGAACACCGGUGACAGGUGGUGCAUGGUUGUCGUCAGCUCGUGUCGUGAGAUGUUGGGUUAAGUCCCGCAACGAGCGCAACCCUUAUUGUUAGUUGCCAUCAUUUAGUUGGGCACUCUAGCAAGACUGCCGGUGACAAACCGGAGGAAGGUGGGGAUGACGUCAAAUCAUCAUGCCCCUUAUGACCUGGGCUACACACGUGCUACAAUGGGAAGUACAACGAGUCGCAAAGUCGCGAGGCUAAGCUAAUCUCUUAAAGCUUCUCUCAGUUCGGAUUGUAGGCUGCAACUCGCCUACAUGAAGCCGGAAUCGCUAGUAAUCGCGGAUCAGCACGCCGCGGUGAAUACGUUCCCGGGCCUUGUACACACCGCCCGUCACACCACGAGAGUUUGUAACACCCGAAGUCGGUGAGGUAACCUUUUGGAGCCAGCCGCCUAAGGUGGGAUAGAUGAUUGGGGUG
rnacentral:rRNA from 1 species